rnacentral:rRNA from 1 species
AAGAGGUAGUGGAGGACCGAACCCACAUCCGUUGAAAAGGGUGGGGAUGAGGUGUGGAUAGGGGAGAAAUUCCAAUCGAACCCGGAGAUAGCUGGUUCUCCUCGAAAUAGCUUUAGGGCUAGCCUCGAUACAGAUUUGCGGAGGUAGAGCACUGAAUUUCCUAGGGGGCGUCAAAGCCUACCGAAGAAUAUCAAACUCCGAAUGCCGCGUAAUCGAUUAUCGGGAGUCAGACUGCACGAGAUAAGUUGGGCGGUCAAAAGGGAAAGAGCCCAGACCUUCAGUUAAGGUCCCCAAGUGCGCGUUAAGUGGAAAAGGAUGUGGGAUUUCGAAGACAACCAGGAUGUUGGCUCAGAAGCAGCCAUCCAUUCAAAGAGUGCGUAAUAGCUCACUGGUCGAGAGGUCCUGCGCCGAAAAUGUCCGGGGCUGAAACGCGCCACCGAAACUAAGGAACCGAAAGGUUGGUAGAGGAGCAUUGCAUGCGGGAAGAAGCAGUACCGAAAGGAGCUGUGGACUGCAUGGAAGAGAGAAUGCCGGAAUGAGUAGCGAGAAUAAGGUGAGAAUCCUUAUGGCCGAAUAUCCAAGGUUUCCAGAGUAAAGCUGAUCUGCUCUGGGUAAGUCGGGGCCUAAGGCGAGGACGAGAGUCGUAGCCGAUGGACAACAGGUGGAGAUUCCUGUACUGCGGUAUGACAGAACUGUGGGGACACGUAAGGAAAGCGGAAGCCGGGAAUGGAAAGCCCGGUGCAAGCGGGGUACCAGUCACUUUGGCAAAUCCGGGUGGCAAUGGGAAGCCGUGAUGCGGAGCGAAAUAAAGUAGCGAAGUCCGUGAGCCAUGCGUCAAGAAAAGCCGCUAUUGUUUAUACCGUACCCGUACCGUAAACCGACACAGGUGGAUGAGGAGAGAAUCCUAAGGCCGGCGGAAGAAGCAUUGUCAAGGAACUCGGCAAAAUGGCCCCGUAACUUAGGGAUAAGGGGUGCCUGGGAAACCAGGCCGCAGAGAAUAGGCUCAAGCAACUGUUUAGCAAAAACACAGGUCUAUGCGAAACCGAAAGGUGAGGUAUAUGGGCUGACGCCUGCCCGGUGCUGGAAGGUUAAGAGGAGAGGUUAGCGCAAGCGAAGCUUUGAAUUUAAGCCCCAGUAAACGGCGGCCGUAACUAUAACGGUCCUAAGGUAGCGAAAUUCCUUGUCGGGUAAGUUCCGACCCGCACGAAAGGCGUAAUGAUUUGAGCACUGUCUCG